rnacentral:rRNA from 1 species
AGUGAACGCUGGCGGUAGGCCUAACACAUGCAAGUCGAACGGCAGCACAGUAAGAGCUUGCUCUUACGGGUGGCGAGUGGCGGACGGGUGAGGAAUACAUCGGAAUCUACUUUUUCGUGGGGGAUAACGUAGGGAAACUUACGCUAAUACCGCAUACGACCUACGGGUGAAAGCAGGGGAUCUUCGGACCUUGCGCGAUUGAAUGAGCCGAUGUCGGAUUAGUUAGUUGGCGGGGUAAAGGCCCACCAAGGCGACGAUCCGUAGCUGGUCUGAGAGGAGGAUCAGCCACACUGGAACUGAGACACGGUCCAGACUCCUACGGGAGGCAGCAGUGGGGAAUAUGGGACAAGGGGCGCAAGCCUGAUCCAGCCAUACCGCGUGGGUGAAGAAGGCCUUCGGGUUGUAAAGCCCUUUUGUUGGGAAAGAAAAGCAGCAGGUUAAUACCCCGCUGUUCUGACGGUACCCAAAGAAUAAGCACCGGCUAACUUCGU